rnacentral:lncRNA from 1 species
ACCAAAAAUAUAAGUAUAUAUCAAGUCGCAUACUAUAUAUUGAAUAUUACAUAUAUGUGCAUCAGAAUGACUUACAUGUUAUAUGACAAAUAAACAUAUGCAACAAAUAUUUUGACUAGAUAAUAUGUAUAUCACCCAGAAACAAGGCUAUGGGUGUUUAUAUUGACCUCGUAGUAGGUGGAUAGUGAAUGAAAUAAAAAGAUACAUUUUUGAAAAAGACAUGCGCUUUGCUAUAUGUUUUGUGUCUCUUUUGUUAAAAGAUGUAUAUCAAUAAAAUAGUAUAUACAUAUCAAUCCAUAUAUAUGCAUCAAUACAAAUAGAAUAUCCUCCAAAACUCACUGCAAUGCCUAUGUCUUCUUUCCCUACCCAUGCAUCCCCUCAUUGGCAUUAGUGCCCUCUUCAUUGGUUGCAACUUCCAUUCCACUUUUAUCACUAGCCCACCAACAGCCCCUCCUCGACCUUGCACUUGCCAUCCACCUUUUGCUCCUCUCCUUUCUCUUCUUCGAGAUCAGCUUUUCUUUAAUCUACAAGAACAACUCAUCUUCAAUCAUCACACUCUCACCAUUUUGCCCCUUUAUGUACACCAUCACCUCCUCUACAAU